AGCAACAUGGAUAAAUUUUUCACGAUCGUGUUUAAAAAAUAUUCCACAAUUUAUAAAACUGAUCUUAUUAAUCCUGCCUGCGGAUCUAAAAUGUAAAAUAGACAAGAAGUACAAAAACUUUAAUAGAGAAUACCGGGUAUUAAAAUAUAAUAAAUUUUAUCAUGCCUUAAUCCAAAGUCAUAAUAAUAAGAAAAAGGAAAGAGUAGAAUAUGCUUAUAUACACAUUGCUGGUGUAAUGUUUAAAUAUCUUUCAAAAGAUCAAGCCACAAUAUUAGUUUAUAACAUUAUCGUUGUCGCACUUUUCAGGUUUCUAUGAGCAAAAUACCCGAAGACGUCAAAUUGCGAAUAUAAAUAGGCCAACCGAGCAAGGAGAAAUAGGCACAAUUUACGAUGAUCCCAACAACGAAUGUAGAAACAAUCAAUGGAAAAGAGUUUUGUUAUUGGUUGUUGCUAUUACGGUACACAAUAUUCCAGAAGGUCUUGCAGUUGGAGUAGGAUUCGCAGCAGUAGGUAACAGUGCAUCAGCAACUUUUGAAAAUGCAAGGUAAGCAACGCACGCUUCUACCGUCUUCUAGAAAAUAUUCGCGAACAGAUUCUAAUUUAAAUAUUAUUCCACAUAAAUAACGCAUUAAGAUUUCAAACAUCGUCGAGUGAAUAUGUUUUUUUUU